UACAGAGGUCCCGAGCGUUGUUCGGAUUCACUGGGCGUAAAGGGUGCGUAGGCGGUUCUGAAAGUCUGAUGUGAAAUCUCCAGGCCCAACCUGGAAACUGCAUUAGAAACUACAGGGCUAGAGGCUUGGAGGGGGAACUGGAAUUCUCGGUGUAGCAGUGAAAUGCGUAGAUAUCAGGAGGAACACCUGCGGUGUAGACGGCUUACUGGACGGUAACUGACGCUGAGGCACGAAAGCGUGGGUAGCAAACAGG
rnacentral:rRNA from 1 species